AUGAUGACAAAACACUAAGUAUAUGCAAAAUUUGAGAUUUAAACAUAUACACAGUAUUUGAUCAGAUGUACAAGUAUAAUGUUUUGAUUAGAACUAGAUACAAUGUGCAUCACUCAAAGUAUUCAAUUUUCAGUUCUUUCCUUGUGCAUAAGAUUGAUCUUUCUAGUUCUUAAAUGAUUUUAGCAUAUCAACUGAAUUUGAAUCAAGUUAAAAUGAAGUAUUGAUGCUGAGGAUAAUUGAAAGCUAGAUUCUUUUUGACUCCCCCUUUCUUCUCCAGAAGGGCAAUUAUCUUAAGGUCAAUAUUCUUCAAUUUCUAAAUCAACUUUGGAGUAUGAUUAUAAAUUUUGCAUCCAUAUUCAAUAUCCAUAUAUAUAACUGCUCCCCCCUUUCACUAUCUCUACAUUCAAUAUCUACUCCCCCUUUUUGUCAUCAACAAUGAAGGGGACAAAUUAUCUCUAUAUUCAAUAUAUUCAGUGUUCAUUUUACUCCCCCUUUGAUAUUCAGGUUGUGCUCCCCCUGUUUCAUAUGCUUUGAUACGUUGUGC
rnacentral:lncRNA from 1 species